UGUCCUCUCNCAUAAUAAUCCAUCUCACCCUUUGGGCAUCGCCGCGUGGGCACCCUUUGGGAUCGUCUCGGAGGGGGCUCGCGUUUUCACACAAACCCCCCUUUUAAAAGUGUAGAAUGACCUCAUUUAUGCGCUAACCCGCAAUCAAUACAACUUUCAACAACGGAUCUCUUGGCUCUCGCAUCGAUGAAGAACGCAGCGAAAUGCGAUACGUAAUGUGAAUUGCAGAAUUCAGUGAAUCAUCGAAUCUUUGAACGCACCUUGCGCCCCUUGGUAUUCCGAGGGGCACACCCGUUUGAGUGUCGUGAAAACCUCAACCUCCUUGGUUUCUUCUGGAGACCAAAGCAGGCUUGGACUUUGGAGGCCUUUGCUGGCACCUCUCUCUUUUGAAGGUCAGCUCCUCUUAAAUGAAUUAGCAGGGUCCUCUUUGCCGAUCCUCGACGUGUGAUAAGAUGUUUCCAUGUCUUGGUUUCUGGCUCUGUCACUUUUGGGACCCGCUUCUAACCGUCUUGACCUUGCAUCGAGACAAUGUUCGAGCAUGCCUCCCUUCUCGGGAAGCUCCCUCGACCCCACGAACCCUUGACCUCAAAUCGGGUGAGACUACCCGCUGAAC
rnacentral:rRNA from 1 species